rnacentral:rRNA from 1 species
GUUUGAUCCUGGCUCAGAACGAACGCUGGCGGCGCGUCUUAAGCAUGCAAGUCGAGCGGUAAGAGUAGCAAUACUCCUAGAGCGGCGGACUGGUGAGUAACACGUAGGUGAUCUACCUUUAGGUUGGGGAUAGCCGAUAGAAAUAUCGGGUAAUACCGAAUGUGGUCGCGGGGUUGUGACCCUGUAAAGAAAGAAGCUACGGCUUCGCCUGGAGAUGAGCCUGCGGCCCAUUAGCUAGUUGGGGGUGUAACGGACCACCAAGGCGAUGAUGGGUAGCCGGCCUGAGAGGGUGAACGGCCACACUGGGACUGAGAUACGGCCCAGACUCCUACGGGAGGCAGCAGCUAAGAAUAUUCCGCAAUGGACGAAAGUCUGACGGAGCGACGCCGCGUGGAUGAGGAAGGCCGAAAGGUUGUAAAGUCCUUUUGUCGAUGAAGAAUAAGUGGUGGAGGGAAUGCCAUCAUGAUGACGUUAGUCGGCGAAUAAGCCCCGGCUAAUUACGUGCCAGCAGCCGCGGUAACACGUAAGGGGCAAGCGUUGUUCGGAAUUAUUGGGCGUAAAGGGUACGUAGGCGGUUAUGUAAGCCCGGCGUGAAAUCCUGCAGCUUAACUGUAGAGCUGCGCUGGGAACUGCGUAACUUGAGUCAUGGAAGGGAAGUUAGAAUUCCAGGUGUAGGGGUGAAAUCUGUAGAUAUCUGGAAGAAUACCGGUGGCGAAGGCGAACUUCUGGCCAAUGACUGACGCUGAGGUACGAAAGUGCGGGGAGCAAACAGGAUUAGAUACCCUGGUAGUCCGCACCAUAAACGAUGUGCACUAGGUGUUGGGCCGAGCGGUUCAGUGCCGAAGCUAACGUGAUAAGUGCACCGCCUGGGGAGUAUGCCCGCAAGGGUGAAACUCAAAGGAAUUGACGGGGGCCCGCACAAGCGGCGGAGCAUGCGGAUUAAUUCGAUGCAACGCGAAGAACCUUACCUGGGUUUGACAUAUACCGGAAACAUCUGGAGACAGGUGCCCCGCAAGGUCGGUAUACAGGUGGUGCAUGGCUGUCGUCAGCUCGUGUCGUGAGAUGUUGGGUUAAGUCCCGCAACGAGCGCAACCCUCGUUCUAUGUUGCCAGCGGUUCGGCCGGGAACUCAUAGAAGACUGCCGGGGUCAACUCGGAGGAAGGUGGGGAUGACGUCAAGUCAUCAUGCCCCUUAUGUCCAGGGCUUCACGCAUGCUACAAUGGCUGGUACAAAGGGCUGCAAUAUCGCAAGAUGGAGCGAAUCCCAUAAAGCCAGUCUCAGUUCGGAUUGGGGUCUGCAACUCGACCCCAUGAAGUCGGAGUCGCUAGUAAUCGCAGAUCAGCAACGCUGCGGUGAAUACGUUCCCGGGCCUUGUACACACCGCCCGUCAAGUCAUGAAAGUCGGUAACACCCGAAGCCGGUGGCCUAACCCUUGUGGAGGGAGCUGUCGAAGGUGGGACCGGUAUUAGGACUAAGUCGUAACAAGGUAGCCG